AAGAGCAAGUCACUUCUCUGGUUUCCUGAAGGGUUACAGGUGAAGGUUCUUACAGACUGAAGUUGGUGCUAAGAGAUGCCUGUUGAGCUCCUAUGCACAUUCCUGGUUGGUAGGUGGUACUGGUGGACUUCCCUCGAUAGGUCAGCAAGAAAUAACUUUUAUGACGGCCAAGACUGAGGAAUACAUGUAGGCGGUUCUUACUUUCUGUUCUGAAUUGGGAAUUCCCUUAAACAAAAUCUCUCAAUUCUGGCCAUUAAGUAUUGUCUACUGGAGAAGCAAGUGACUUCAUGAGUUCAUGACUGGAAUCUUGUAAGGUUAAGCUGAACCCCUGCCUCAAUCCAGCGAGUUCAUUUUAGAGCAGUCAAAAGGCAAGGAACCUUGCUGGGGACACAAUGGUAGGAUCACUAGAAGACGUGGAAUGUUAAUCAGAUUAUUGAACAAUUGUGAGUUUAAAGGAUCCA